rnacentral:lncRNA from 1 species
AAGAAAAUAUAAUCAGCGUCCAUGUUGUGCUCCAUCCUUACACUACUUUCGGGGAAACGAAGAGAAGGCAAACAAGCCGGAGCCUGGCUGGACCUUGUUUCAAUAUUGAUUGAUCCGCCCAACAUUCCCUUUCCAUUGGUGGUGGUCACUGCUCCAUCUUGCAACUGGUGCGCUGAACUUCUCACCAUUUUACACAGCAACACCCCUAAAAGCGCCCCCCUCUUCUCCGUGGCCCAUUUUGCUUUUAUUAAAAUAGACAACGUUGUACAAGUCAAAUCUUACAAAAUAAUACCCCAUAUAUGUAUUUAUAUGUAUAUAUUAGCCUUUAACCAAUAUUUGUGUUUUGACAAAAACAACUUGUACGUUUCCUUCUCUUCUCCUGUGAUCAGCCAUUUCCCCCAGGACCCCUGAGUCCUGUUAGUAAUGAAUAAUAUAGGGACCAGAAUCUGCCUGGCAUGUGGCUCACACCUAUAAUCCCAGCACAAGGGAAGCCAAAGCAAGAGCACUGCCAUGAAUUCAAGGCCUACCUGGCCUAUACAGUCGGCGUCAGCCUGGGCUUCGGAGUGAAAAAACUAUGUCAAAGAACAAAAUAAACAGAUCUGAACCCUGGAUAUACUCGGCA